CAUUUUCAUCCUCCCAAGUUGAUAGAUCUGGUACAGAGCACUCUUGCGGGAUCGUAAAUCUCAACCGUAGAUUUUCACUGCCCUUCACCGUCCAACAGCUUCAGAUCGAAAUUCGGUUUCAAAAUGGGAGAGCAGCAGAUUCAUACUAGGUAGAAGAGUCAACUCGAGAGAGAUUUUGACUCCCUCAAGAAACAAUUUGAGUCUCUUAAAUCCGACAAUGAUACUCUACUUGCCUACAACAAGAAAAUCCUUGAAGAGUUUUUGAUAACAUCAAUUAGGGAGAUAAAAAUGCUGAAGCAGUAUCAUGAGAAUGUGUUCAAAAGCACAAAUCAAACUGAGAUUCAAGACUGCUGCAGGGUACACAAAAGGCUUCAAAUAAGGAAUACGAGGCAAUUGAGAGUUUGCUUCAAAGUUCAAACCAUUAUAUAUGUAAAUGUUCAUCUUUUUUUCUUUUGUUAUGUUCUCUGU